AAAAAAAGAGACAACUUUUGUUCUUCCCUCACUUUAAGGUUAUUUGUGGACUUCCAACAAAGACCUUUACACAUGAAUUGAAUCCUAAAAAUAACAACUUUCUACCAUAAAAGGCUAAAUUAACUAAAAAGAUGUAAUUAUAGAACAUGAAUUCCAUAAUUGAAUUCAUAAUUUACAUUAGGUUCCAAAAUCAAUUCGUUUAAAAAUAGCUCAUAUAAGAAGAUUCACAAUUUAUGAUCGUACAGGGAUACAAAGAUUUAUGAAUAUAGUUUUGAUGAAUAAGAAAAAAUCAAUGAAUGAAUCAACUAAAUCUCAAUCCAAACUUAGUUAGAAUUCGCUAUAUGAAUUCUCACAAAAAAUGCCACAUGUCACCCGUAUUGAGUGCGAGAACAGAGAAAACUAAACAUAAAUUAUCAAAAUUCAUUAGAAUUUUUGAAAAAAUGAGGAAAAAAAAUGUAGAUCGCCUGAAAAGCUUUGUUCUUAAUGAUGAAAAGCUUCGAUUUCACAGCACGAACAUCGUCGUCUUCAUCGAAUCGAAACUUGUUUUUUUUCACUUGGUUGUAUCUGUAAUUGGACCAAUAAUACAUUGGGGUGACGUUUAC
rnacentral:lncRNA from 1 species